GUGGGGAAUAUUGGACAAUGGGCGCAAGCCUGAUCCAGCAAUGCCGCGUGAGUGAUGAAGGCCUUAGGGUUGUAAAGCUCUUUUACCCGGGAAGAUAAUGACUGUACCGGGAGAAUAAGCCCCGGCUAACUCCGUGCCAGCAGCCGCGGUAAUACGGAGGGGGCUAGCGUUGUUCGGAAUUACUGGGCGUAAAGCGUACGUAGGCGGUUUUGUAAGUUAGAGGUGAAAGCCCGGAGCUCAACUCCGGAACUGCCUUUAAGACUGCAUCACUUGAACGUCGGAGAGGUGAGUGGAAUUCCGAGUGUAGAGGUGAAAUUCGUAGAUAUUCGGAAGAACACCAGUGGCGAAGGCGGCUCACUGGACGACUGUUGACGCUGAGGUACGAAAGCGUGGGGAGCAAACAGGAUUAGAUACCCCAGUAGUCC
rnacentral:rRNA from 1 species